rnacentral:rRNA from 1 species
UACGGGGGGAGCAAGCGUUGUUCGGAUUUACUGGGCGUAAAGGGCGCGUAGGCGGCCACCGCAAGUCGACCGUGAAAUCUCCGGGCUUAACCCGGAAAGGUCAGCCGAUACUGCGGGGCUAGAGUGCAGAAGGGGCAACUGGAAUUCUCGGUGUAGCGGUGAAAUGCGUAGAUAUCGAGAGGAACACCUGCGGCGAAGGCGGGUUGCUGGGCUGACACUGACGCUGAUGCGCGAAAGCUAGGGGAGCGAACGGG